GGUGAAAGGGGAGGGGUGAGACGGGUGGGUAUUGGGAUGGGGGGUAGUUUUUUUUCAUUAAUAUUUUUUUGGGGGGUAUCGGACAAGACCCCUAAGAUGAGCCCAGUGCCGUUCUCAGAUUACUAAAGAAAAAUCACAAGCGGGAGGGCCCCCCAUGACGCCCCGCACCCCCCCUAAGCCGUUCCCUCAGGCAUGGGGUCGGAUAUCGGUGCCGCGUCGCUCUGCUUAAUGUGUGUGUAUGUGUGUUUACGAGCGUCCGAUAUAUCGGCCAGAUCAUACCACACACACACACACACACACAAACGAACGCACAAACACGAUAACCGCCCCCAUGUCCAAGUGUAGGCCGCAGGACCGCCCCCAGAGCAACCUCCAGCUAUGGGGUCGACGGUCACUAGGGCCAGAAUCUCGCUAGGGCCUUACAGUGCAGGGCAAAGUUUCGCCCUCGCACCAAGAUAACCUGGCUUGUGUGGGGUGGGUGCGGGGAGAGUCUGCCAUGGGGGGUGGGUCUCCGUACUCAUCAAACGCAUAUCUCGUCACUGAACGGCACUUACGGGAGGGUUUGUUUACGUAACGGAUGAUGGGAAAUUAAAACUAGGCCUAGAGGGGAAGAGUGAAGAUGAUGAUGUAGAUGAUGAAGGUGAAGUAGAUGGAGAUGUUGAUACAGAAACUGAGCCUAUAGAAUUAAAAAAAAAAGAGGGUUAAGAUGAUAAUGAUGAUGAUGGUGAAUUAGAUGAUGUAGAUGAUGAAGGUGAAGUAGAUGGAGAUGUUGAUACAGAAACUGAGCUUAUAGAAGUUGAAAAGAAAUGAGGGUUAAGAUGAUGAUGAUGGCGAAUUAGAUGAUGUUGAUGUAGAUGAUGAAGGUGAAGUAGAUGGAGAUGUUGAUACAGAAACUGAGCCUAUAGAAGUUGAAAAGAAAUGAGGGUUAAGAUGAUGAUGAUGGUGAAUUAGACGAUGUUGAUGAUGAAGGUGAAGUAGAUGAAGAUGUUGAUACAGAAACUGAGCCUAAAGAAGUAAAAAAAAGAGGGUUAAGAUGAUACUGAUGAUGGCGAAUUAGAUGAUGUUGAUGUAGAUGAUGAAGGUGAAGUAGAUGGAGAUGUAGGAGGAGGAAACUGUACACAACAUCAAAACAAAGAAUGCCAAUCUAACCUAACCCAACCCAAUUCAACCAACCCCAAC